AAUAAUAAUAGUAAACAACUUUGUUUAUAUAGCAUCUUAUACCUUGUUAUUAUAAACCAUUUAACAAACAAAAUAGUUCCAUGAUACAGAGAGGUCUGAGAGGACAACUAUUAAUUUCUGAAUGACAAGCUGCCAGCUCCCGGGGAUAUCUCCAGCCCCAGAACUUGUAGAACAAGCUGUUGUCCAUUCAUAGAUACCUACCACUACCACUGACUGAUCCCAAUGACUUGAAGGGGCUUCAUCAAUUAAGUCCAAGAUAUAUCGAAUAUUGUAACAGAUGUGUGUUCCUUGCAUAAGUCAGACUGACAAUCAUCUAUUACUGUGUCUAGACACAAUUUUAAUCUCUGUGUAAAGAUGUGAGCUAAUAAUUUAGCAUCUUUAUUCAUUAAAGGGCUUAGGUAAACCUUCUAUGGCCUCCUUAAAGACACAUGAGAAAUAAAAUCUUAAAAUAAAAUUCAGUCAUCAUUGCCUGAGUAUUUAUCUUGAUCACAAACUUUGUUUUAAAUUUUGUCAAGAAAAAAAACAUGAUGAACUAAUUAUAUGAUCAUAUUGAUAUAAACCAAGUAAAUUGUUAUUCUAGGUGAACUGGAUCUGAUGCAGAUUUUUAGUCUCCAGAUAUCAUACCAAUUUAAGUAAACAUAAGUUGUUAAAUUCUCCAUAUGUGCCUCUUAAAGAUCUUUGAGAGAGACAAUCUUUUGUGGGAUCAGUAACUGCAUUCCAUUCGCCCCCAAAAUAUUGUUCAGCAUUCAUGAAGGUAUUCAGCAAAACAUUCAUUUCUUUAUCAAAUUCCUCAAAAAGCCUUUUGUUUCUAUCACUUAAAGUCUGACGCUAAAGCAUGUGUUUCUUGUAGAAAGCAAGAGUCUGCAUUUCCAUCUAUUUUCUGCCACUUAUCUGGGACUGGGUUGUGGUGGCAGCAGAUUGAGGUAACCCAGAUGUCCUUCAUCUUUACCUAGGGGAUCCCGAGGUGGUCCCAGGCCAGGCCUGCCUGGUGACUCCAUAGUUCUGCUGGGGGACUUAAAUGCUCAUUUGGGCAACAACUGGGAAACUCGGAGGGGGAGUGAUUGGGAGAAACAGCCUGCCAUGACUCUGUAUGCGGCUGCUCUGAGUUGUGACUAGGAGGUCAUCUCUGUCUGUUGUCUGUUGUGGCGGCAACCUGAGAACCCCGCUGGUGGAGCCCAGCCGUGAAGUAGGCUGACAUGCUGAAGAUGAAGGCCUUUUUGGGCUUAGUUGGCCCAGGGGUCAGCAGACAGGAAGGGUGGCUACUUCAAGGGUGGCUGCUUUGGUGAUUGCUGAAGCAAAAACCGAGUCGCAUCUGCUCUGGCUCCCGUCCCCGUCUCCUGUUCCUCGUCUUGUCAGCCUUGCAUCCCUGCCUUGGAACCCUGCUCUACCCAGCUUCCACAGAUUCCACUCCAGACCUGCUCCCCCUUGCCCCAGCCUGCCUCAGCUCCUGGUACCAGCUUCAAGCCCAAGCCCGAGUUUCCCAGCUACCAGUACUAGUGUCCCCUGGCCUGCUUUAAUAAAUACCUUGUCCUACCGUG